rnacentral:rRNA from 1 species
AUGGUCUUGGCAAUCUUUGGCCCCAGGAGCACAAACCUCAAGCAAAACAUGCUGAUCAAGCUGAAGGCAGUCUAUACUCUUGUAGAGCAGCUCUACACCGGGUCACAACGUGCUUUGGCCGUUGUAGGUUUAUCAAAUGACGUUCCUCACCUUCUGCAAGACGUGCUGAAACGGCUUGCUUCACUACCUCAACGGGUCCAAGAGCUAAGGCGGGCGUCCGCAAGAGCCGGGGCUAUAUCCGCUUUGAGCCGGGCGAAAGCAUGGCUUCCAGAACUUGACCCGGCCGACCUCGCUCUUGGAUACCCAAGUCUGAAGGAAGAUGGAACCGAAUUUGACGACCAGGAUUUCACCGCCUGUGUCAAAGUCAUACGCCCCGUGGCUACUCUUAUCGGGAAUGAUAUUGAUCUCACCAAAUGUCAGCCGGGCUAUGACAGCGAGAACCGAAGAAUCCCAACACCUUCUUAUGAUGAAGUCAUCCUGAUCCCUCCAAUUCGUAAGCAUACCUUUGCCCCUGAAGUGGACCCAGCCGGUUUAAUAGAUGGUGAAGCCGAGUUUGAAGCUUUGAGCGGCAUUGACUGGGCCUCAUCAACUCUCCAGGACAAAGCAGCCGAUGGAGACACGGAGAAGGAAACUCGGAGCCUUCAAGCCCACCAAAGGAGUGAGCCACCAGGCGUCUUAUAA